AUAAAUGAUUACAAAGCCCAGUCGAAUUGUAAUCAAGACCCAACGUUGGGUCUUGAUUACAAUUACGAAACGUUGGGUCUUGAUUACAAUUCGACUGGGCUUUGUAAUCAUUUAUUU